UUUUGUUCAGUUCUCUGCCUCUAUUGAUUUUGCUUGCAUUGCUCUCUCUUCCUAUUGAGCCUUCACUAUUUUCAUCAGAGAACUUUUUGUUUCUUUGCUCAGUUCUCCAGCGGGGAGUCAUGCCGUGAGGUGAUCUAUUUUCCUUGUGACAUCUUUCAACUUCCAGGUAAUUUAUUGAGGAAGAAUUGGUGAAAGUUAUUGAAUUCUUUAAUGUUGUUGUGAAAUUGGCAGUGAAAUUAAAGGUUCAAACUCAAGGUAAGUUUUUCACUGUUAUUCUUUUUGUUGUCUGUACUACAUUUGAGAAAAUAUGGCCAUAGCAAGCUGAGGAAGGUGACAAAAAAAAUAUAAGUUGCAAAUUCAGAAUAAUGAGCACACCGGAUCAGGCAAAAGAUUUGAUUUUAGCUUCCCCAAUUUCCAAGCCCUUUAGGUGCAAUUCCACAUUCUUUACAGAACCUUAAAAUUUUGGGUCGCUUUUUCUUGAAAAAUGAAUUUCAGUGUUCUGCUUUGUCUAUUGUAUCAAGCAGUUGUUCAUGGAUAAAAACUGCAACUUUAGUAUUGGAUACGAAAACAAAACUUAGAAAAUACUUCACCUCUACAUUUAAUUUUUGUAACUGACGCAGCUUUCUUCUAAUAUUUUUAAUAUCUCAA